rnacentral:rRNA from 1 species
UACGUAGGGUCCGAGCGUUGUCCGGAAUUAUUGGGCGUAAAGGGCUCGUAGGCGGUCUGUUGCGUCGGGAGUGAAAACUUACAGCUUAACUGUGAGCGUGCUUUCGAUACGGGCAGACUUGAGGCAUUCAGGGGAGAACGGAAUUCCGGGUGUAGUGGUGAAAUGCGUAGAGAUCCGGAGGAACCCCAGAGGCGAAGGCGGCGUCCUGGCUCGCAUCUGACGCUCAGACACGACAGCAUGGGGAGCGAACGGG